rnacentral:rRNA from 1 species
GUGUCAGCAGCCGCGGUAAUACGUAGGGUGCGAGCGUUAAUCGGAAUUACUGGGCGUAAAGCGUGCGCAGGCGGCCUCUUAAGCCAGAUGUGAAAUCCCCGGGCUUAACCUGGGAACUGCGUUUGGAACUGGGAGGCUAGAGUGUGGCAGAGGGGGGUGGAAUUCCCGGUGUAGCAGUGAAAUGCGUAGAUAUCGGGAGGAACAUCAAUGGCGAAGGCAGCCCCCUGGGUUAACACUGACGCUCAUGCACGAAAGCGUGGGGAGCAAACAGGAUUAGAAACCCCCGUAGUCC